rnacentral:rRNA from 1 species
UACGUAGGGAGCGAGCGUUGUCCGGAAUUACUGGGUGUAAAGGGAGCGUAGGCGGGAUGGUAAGUCAGAUGUGAAAUGCAGGAGCUCAACUCCUGAGCUGCAUUUGAAACUGCUGUUCUUGAGUGAGGUAGAGGUAAGCGGAAUUCCUGGUGUAGCGGUGAAAUGCGUAGAGAUCAGGAGGAACAUCGGUGGCGAAGGCGGCUUACUGGGCCUUUACUGACGCUGAGGCUCGAAAGCGUGGGGAGCAAACAGG